rnacentral:rRNA from 1 species
CACGUAGGGUGCGAGCGUUGUCCGGAAUUAUUGGGCGUAAAGAGCUCGUAGGCGGUGUGUCGCGUCGGCCGUGAAAACCCUGCAGCUUAACUGUGGGCUUGCGGUCGAUACGGGCAUCACUGGAGUUCGGCAGGGGAGACUGGAAUUCCUGGUGUAGCGGUGAAAAUGCGCAGAUAUCAGGAGGGAACACCGGGUGGCGAAGGCGGGUCUCUGGGGCCGAUGACUGACGCUGGAGGAGCGAAAGCGUGGGGAGCGAACAGG